rnacentral:rRNA from 1 species
AGCAGCCGCGGCAAUUCCAGCUCCAAUAGCGUAUAUUAAAGCUGUUGCAGUUAAAAAGCUCGUAGUUGAAUUUCGGGACCAAUCUGCCGGUCGUGCCUCCGGUACGCACUGGUUUUAUUGGUUUCUCCCUUCUGACGAACUAUGAUGUCAUUAAUUUGGUGUCAUGGGGAAUCAGGACUGUUACUUUGAAAAAAUUAGAGUGUUUAUAGCAGGCUCACGCUUGAAUACAUUAGCAUGGAAUAAUGAAAUAGGACGUUUGACCCUAUUUUGUUGGUUUCUAGGAUCGACGUAAUGAUUAAUAGGGAUAGUUGGGGGCAUUAGUAUUCAAUUGUCAGAGGUGAAAUUCUUGGAUUUAUUGAAGACUAACUACUGCGAAAGCAUUUGCCAAGGAUGUUUUCAUUAAUCAAGAACGAAAGUUAGGGGAUCGAAGACGAUCAGAUACCGUCGUAGUCUUAACCAUAAACUAUGCCGACUAGGGAUCGGAUGAUGUUAAUUUUUUAAUGACUCAUUCGGCGCCUUA